AAUUUUGAGAGUUUGAUCCUGGCUCAGAACGAACGCUGGCGGCGCGCCUAACACAUGCAAGUCGAACGAGAGGCUCUUCGGAGUAGUAAAGUGGCGUACGGGUGAGUAAUACAUGGGUAAUCUGCCUUUGAGCGGGGGAUAACCAGCCGAAAGGCUGGCUAAUACCCCAUACGCUUCCGGUCCUUCGGGUAAGGAAGGAAAGCUGCAUCGUGGAUGUGGCACUCGAAGAUGGGCUCAUGGCCUAUCAGCUUGUUGGUGGGGUAACGGCCUACCAAGGCAACGACGGGUAGCUGGUCUGAGAGGACGAUCAGCCACACUGGCACUGAGAUACGGGCCAGACUCCUACGGGAGGCAGCAGUGAGGAAUAUUGCGCAAUGGGCGAAAGCCUGACGCAGCGACGCCGCGUGGGGGAAGAAGGUUUUCGGAUUGUAAACCCCUUUUAGGAGGAAAGAUGGGGUGGUUUUCCACCCGGACGGUACCUCCAGAAAAAGCCACGGCUAACUUCGUGCCAGCAGCCGCGGUAAUACGAAGGUGGCGAGCGUUGUUCGGAUUUACUGGGCGUAAAGAGCACGUAGGCGGUUUAGUAAGCCCCUUGGGAAAGCUACGGGCUUAACCCGUAAAGGUCGAGGGGGACUGCUAAGCUAGAGGGCGGGAGAGGAGCGCGGAAUUUCCGGUGUAGCGGUGAAAUGCGUAGAUAUCGGGAAGAAGGCCGGUGGCGAAGGCGGCGCUCUGGAACGUCUCUGACGCUGAGGUGCGAAAGCGUGGGGAGCAAACAGGAUUAGAUACCCUGGUAGUCCACGCCGUAAACGAUGGGUACUAAGUGUCGGCAGGUUACUGUCGGUGCCGCAGUUAACGCAGUAAGUACCCCGCCUGGGGAGUACGGCCGCAAGGUUGAAA
rnacentral:rRNA from 1 species